UACACUGUAAAAAAAAUCUGUAAAAUAACAGUUAAAUGACUGUAUAUUUUAACGGAUUUUUUCCGUAUACACGUAUUACGGGUGUUUUUCCGUUUAUAUACAUUUUCGAAUUGCAUUAUGGGAAGGGGAUCGCAGCUCAGGCAGCGUUUGAUGGACACCUGGACAUAUUUCUUCCUGUUUUUUCCCUGUUGUUUGUCCGUAUUUUUCUAAACUGCCGUGCGCGGGAAGUGAUGUGACGUCCCAAUCACCCACUCACUCCCUCUGCACCUGCGUGAGUCUGACUGGAUUAAGUUAACGGUAAAACGUCAGCUUGUCUGUGAGAGUGUAAAAGGUGUGUUGGUGUAAAAAUUAAUGCUGACUGAACUCAGGCAGUUGUGCUGGACCUUCUGUACCUUAUACAGGAGAUGACGGUAAACUUUGAAGUUUAAGAGGUUCUGUCAUUUUAGUUAUAAGUACAAGGUGUGUUGGUGUAGAAAUUGAUGCUGACUGAACUCAGGCAGUUGUGCUGGACCAUCUGUACUUCAUACAGGGGAUGACAGUAAACUUACAAGUUUAAGAGCCACCUGAUGAUGAGAAAGACAUUUUCAAUGUAGGCAUCUUGAUGAAGAGUCCACAGUCACAAUAACAAGAUCAUUGAGCUGUCCCCUAAUUGUGGUCAGCUACGUUUAGUCUCUUAUGUGCUAAACAUUAUGUAGCCUAAGGAAGCAGCCCUGACUCUGUAGUUUUUAUGAAGGAGCAUGCUGAGUAACUAUCCAGAACGUAGGUCCAAAGCAGAAAAAAGGGCACCAAGCAGAAACAUACCAUCUAAACUCCUUCGAUUCCUGUCAGACCAGAAAGACUUUGAGAAUCCUUGGAAGAUUUAAAGCCAUUGAAGUAUCAGUAUUGGAGAGGAAGAAGACCCAGUUGUAUCGUCUGUUUCCUGCCAUCUUGCAGUUAACCUGGUUUCUUAAUGUAAAGUACUUGUAAUUUGCCCACUUGUCCUUAAUUAUCUUGAAGCUAAGAUUUAAAACUAAAUUGCUAAAAGAUUAUUUGCAAAGACUUCUUACUGUGCGAUUCACAUGUCAAUAUGUAUUAUUGUGUGUAUAACUGGCUAUUUGGAAUUCAAAUGAUUUGUAUUCAUUAAAGAAUCUGUUUUAAUUGC
ensembl:processed_transcript